CGGGGCGUAGCGCAGCCUGGUAGCGCACCUGCUUUGGGAGCAGGGGGCCGGAGGUUCGAAUCCUCUCGCCCCGACCA
rnacentral:tRNA from 1 species